UCAAUGCUGAAGCAAGCCCUUCCUCAGGAGAGCCAUUUCACAUUUCCGUGGGGAAGGGGAGACAGAGAUUUCAGAGGGAAGCAAGAUUCACUGCAAACUUCAGAGGCCUGAACUUGAGUUUCUUUUUACUUGCCUGCUGAGAAGCAGCAGCCAUCAUGUCAACGUGGAACUUUGCCUGAGGUCUCCAUCAGAGGAUGAUACAGUUAAUAUGUUCUCCAUUCACUGCAGCAGGGAAGGUAGAGGGGUGCCCUAUCACUUACAGGUGUUCUACCUAAACAAUCAAGAUAGUUUCAGACUUAGAGGAUCUUCACCACUCCAGCUUGUGUCUGAAGAACGGAGCUUAGACGCUUGAAAACUGAUUCCCUGAAAACUGUGUUGGUUUCUAAGGUGCCACUGGGCUCAAUCCUGCUGUUAUAAGCAAUCACAAUUAUGAAAUCCAUCAUGUAUCCAAGAGACCACUAAUUUAAGAGAUGUCAGACAUGGCCACUUGCAAGGUAUAUGAACAAACUGUUGCGCACUCAUUGAUGAGAAACAGAUAUGAAGAACUAACCCACAUCAUUUUGUCAUUCAAGAAUGACCAGAUUGGAGUGUUCUUGCCAGUAGUUAUAGAGGGAUUACAGAAAGUAUAGAAAAGGUGGAGUAGUGUUUGUUUGACUUCUAGCUUAUGCUGUACUCUGUAAGGUAGGACUUGGGUCAAACUAUGGUUUCCAGAGGAGACUCAUUAUUAGCUCUCCUGGCAUACUUCUUAAUAUUAAAAAGCAACUGAGGGCAGAGGGAUUUGGUGUAGUGCAGUGGAGGAUCUGGUAGGUAAGAAAGACAGAUCCACACUGAGGCAUGUCUUUUUUCUCUGCCAGAGCUAGUACAUGCUUGAGGGGAAAGGGAACAAGGAGAAGAGUUAAAACACUUUCCCAUACACCAUGGCUAGCAUAGUGUAGCGCUUGUUACAUCAGAUUAGGAUACAGGAUACCCAUUUUGAAUAUCCACUCUACUGUGGAAGUUUACUGGGUUACCUUGGGACAUUCAUUCUCUCUGAGCCUAACCACCCUCACAGGGCUGUUGUGAAGAUGAAAUGGAGGAAGCAAGAACAAUGUUUUAAGCUGCUUUGGGUCCUCAAUGCUGAGAAAAGCAGGUUAUAAAUAUCUAAAUAAAUAAAUAAAUAAAAUCCAAGUCCCAGUGCUUUUAAAUAUUAUAUGGCAUUUUGGGAAAUCCCAUAAUAUCCUGUCAGGAAUACAUACUUCCAUUUUCUGUGUGGUGACAUCUGUGAGUUCCAGAGAAUAUCUGAGGGUUAAUAAUAUCCCUGAGUUCAAGUUCAGACAUUACAGUAGUUACAUGGGAAACAGAAACAUGUAUACACCAUCCCAGAGGUCUGGGAGCAGGCUGCCUGAAUUGUUCUCCUGAGGAACUGUGCUUAGAUCAUGCACAUCAGCUGCAGAACAGCUUACAAUUGUAGUGCUUCACAGAAUCAUCUGAAAAGGUGAUUCAGAUGGAGGAGUCCAACAUGGCAACUCACUAGUAGCUCACUUAGGUGAGCUCUGGAGCUGGUUUAUAAAUCUGAGUAGAAGACACAUUAAAUUGGAGACAACUGAUGCUAAGGAGCAUAUUCAUAACUAUUUAUGGCUUAAGAAAUCACUAAAAUCCAUUCAAAAGCAAGAGGGUGUUUAUACAGAAUUUGAAUUACUAAUAACCUGUGACUUGAAGCAUUUACUAGGAAAAAAUUAUAAAAUUCUAUUGCAACAUCACACAGAAAUGGAACAAUGGAACAAUGGAACAAGUUAAAAACUGUAUGUUAAAAUUGAUGGAAAAUUUUGGAGAAACCAUCCCCAUGAAUCAGUGGGAAGAUCUAUGAACCAAAGAUAUUAAAUUUACAGAUUACCAAUUGUUAAGAGAGAAUUGGUACAAAAUGUUCUUCAGAUGGUAUAUUACGCCCAAAGAUAUCACAAAAAUUAGUAAAGAUUAUAGGGGACAGUGUUGGAAAUGUCAGUGUACGGAUACAACAUUUUAUCACAGCUGGUGGACAUGCAAAGAAGCAUGAAGAUAUUGGAUAAAGAUACAUGAAGAGAUACAGAAGAUUCUCAAGUUCAGAUUUGAGCUGAACUCAAAAAAUAUGCUAUUAAAUAUUUUACCGACUAAUGUUACAAAAGAACAGGCAGACCUUUUCUGGUAUAUGGUGACAGCAGUGAGAGUACUAUAUGCAGCAAAAUGGAUUAAAAAUCACUGACAUUAACGUUUGGGUAUAAGCAAUUAAGGAGAGGGGCAGAGAGCUGUUAUAUAAUCUAAUUGUGCUGUUAUAUACUUUGAAUAUAUUUUUCUGUUGUCGUUUAAAUCUAAUUCAAAUGUAGUGCUUUGAAUAAGUUUCUAUGCACUUUCUACUGUCAUUCAUACCUUUUCCUUUUAAAUAAAACUUUUACUUAAAAAGA